AGUUGGGCAAAAGAGUGACUUUCCAAAACGUCCUGAGCAAUCCACGUUUAUUCUGUCACCUCUACUUCCAAUUUUCUCAAAGGUCAGCUGAAAACUUCAUGUUCCCACUUCAUGCCAUUUUCAGGACCACAAGCUUCAACCUGAGAACCAAAUAUUAAGCUGUAUUCCUGCCUCUUACAAAUCUGCAAGAACAGAGCUCAGCAAGCAGAAGGGAGUUGCAGUUUUGCUGAUGGCACAGAGACAGAAUGAGACCUCAGCUUGUUUGGCUACUCAGUAGAGAAGAGGAGGAAAAUGAAGUCCUACGUGCCGAUUCAUGUUUGUACGACUCUAAACCCUGGAUGUUAACGACUCUAUAAAUGAUGUCAAAUGAACGAAUGCUGGAUGAGAUGACAGGUGGCGGUUACUAACACUGCCAUCAUGUAGGCCCUUUGGAUAGAUUAAAGCGAGAUACCCGGCAGCAGUGGGCUCUAAAAUACUUUACAAAGUCUCGCUGAUGAUUCUUAACUGUGAAAAACAGCUCCUUGUGGAGUCAGCCAGGCACACCUUCAUUAUCUUCCCUCUGCAGCAGCAGCCUGGAUUCAGACACACGUGGAGGAAUCACGCAGCUGGAUGGCGCCCAGGCCGCCCGGCAGCCCCCACAGGGCCCAGGAGGGAACCAGCUUUGCUUCCCAGGAGAGCUGCUUAGUUUUCAGUCAUGGAGGGACAGAUGAUCCCUUCUGCGUGUUGGCCUCGGGACAGGAGGGAAGGGGUGGACAAGCAACCCGACAGGCCGGUGCUGCCUCCGUCCCUCUCUGAGGACAGGGAUUAGGUCUCUGCCCGUGACCGGGCUUUCAUGCC